rnacentral:rRNA from 1 species
GAUAAAGGAGGUGGGAAUGCAGAGACAACCAGGAGGUUUGCCUAGAAGCAGCCAUCCUUAAAAGAGUGCGUAAUAGCUCACUGGUCAAGCGUUCCUGCGCCGAAAAUGAACGGGGCUAAGGUGUUUACCGAAGCUAUGGACUUGCAUUUAUGUGAGUGGUAGGGGAGCGUUCUGUUGUAGUGAGAAGCAUCAGCGGCAAGCAGGUGUGGACGAAGCAGAAGUGAGAAUGUCGGCUUGAGUAGCGCAAACAUUGGUGAGAAUCCAAUGCCCUGAAAUCCUAAGGGUUCCUCCGGAAGGCUCGUCCGCGGAGGGUGAGUCGGGGCCUAAGGCGAGGUCGAAAGACGUAGUCGAUGGACAACUGGUGAAGAUUCCAGUACUCAAUUUGGAUUGUGACGGGGGACGGAGAAGGCUAACACAGCCCCAUGUUGGUUAGGGGUUCAAGCAUUCGAGGUGAUGAGAGUCGGCGGAAACGACUUGAGCUGAGGUGUGAGUACGAGAGUCUACGGACUCGAAGUGUGUGAUGUCAGGCUUCCAAGAAAAUCCCGGAUCACGAUAAUUCAAAUUACCCGUACCCGAAACCGACACAGGUAGGAUGGUUGAGAAAACUAAAGGGCGCGAGAUAACUCUCUCUAAGGAACUCGG